rnacentral:rRNA from 1 species
ACGCUGGCGGCGUGCCUAAUACAUGCAAGUCGAACGGUCUUUCUAUGGAAGCUUGCUUCCACUGAGAAGAUAGUGGCGAACGGGUGAGUAACACGUGGGUAACCUGCCCAUAAGAGGGGGAUAACAUCCGGAAACGGGUGCUAAUACCGCAUAGUUUUCUUGAUCGCAUGAUCGGGAAAGGAAAGACGGCCUUCGUGCUGUCGCUUAUGGAUGGACCCGCGGCGUAUUAGUUAGUUGGUGAGGUAAUGGCUCACCAAGACGAUGAUACGUAGCCGACCUGAGAGGGUGAUCGGCCACAUUGGGACUGAGACACGGCCCAAACUCCUACGGGAGGCAGCAGUAGGGAAUCUUCCGCAAUGGACGAAAGUCUGACGGAGCAACGCCGCGUGAGUGAAAGAAGGUUUUCGGGUCGUAAAACUCUGUUGUCAGAGAAGAACAAGUUGGAGAGUAACUGCUCCAGCCUUGACGGUAUCUGACCAGAAAGCCACGGCUAACUACGUGCCAGCCGCCGC